rnacentral:rRNA from 1 species
CAGCAGCCGCGGUAAUACGAAGGGUGCAAGCGUUACUCGGAAUUACUGGGCGUAAAGAGCUCGUAGGCGGUCUGUCGCGUCUGGUGUGAAAUCCCGAGGCUCAACCUCGGGCUUGCAUCGGGUACGGGCAGACUAGAGUGCGGUAGGGGAGACUGGAAUUCCUGGUGUAGCGGUGAAAUGCGUAGAGAUCUGGAGGAAUACCGAUGGCGAAGGCAGCCAUCUGGCCUAACACUGACGCUGAGGUACGAAAGCAUGGGGAGCAAACAGGAUUAGAUACCCCAGUAGUCCCUGUCUCUUAUAC